UUCAGUAUGCUAGAAUUUACAUAGAGAUGAUUAACAUUUCAAAGGGAACAGAGCAAACAUUAAAUGCAGGCAUGUUACGUGUUUAUGACUGGCAGGAGGGUUGGUUUAUUGCUGUCCUAGGACAUGAGUCCUAGGUGACUUCAUAAUCUUUCAAACAGAGUAGACAAUAUCCAGCUGGAUUCAAGUACCCCCAAAAUGGGUUAUAAAAGGCACUACAUGAUGGAUUUUAGGUUUUAGCUGUGAAGAGUUUGGUGAACCAAAUAAGAACAUUUAUGAUACUAAUAAAACAGUGAAGCUGAAAAAAAAAGCAUCCAGAAGUCAAUAGAAGGAAGUGCAAGAGUACUUGAAGCAGUGACUAGUAUGUAAAGGAAGAAGUGAAAAGUUUAAUAAAAAGAAAGUCUUCUGUCAUACCAUUGGAUGAAUCUGCUGAUAGAGAUGACUGCCUUACUCUCCUCUCUCUUUGUGAACUACUGGAAGACUGCAGAUGAACAGUUGUGAAGUGAAGCCUCCCUUGAAAAUCCACAGUGGGAUCUGAAAAGUCUGAAAGGUGGACCAAAACUGCCUGCUUCUCUUCAGGCAACAUCUCAGGGACAAAACAAAACAAACAAAAAAAUCCAAAAAGCCAAACCAACCAACCAAAAAAAACCACAAACCAAGUAGUUCUUGAAAGGAAAGAAACUACUUCCUAGCACCUCCAAGGGGCAAGACUGAUGAAUACUGUUUUCCUACCACUCAUCACUAGCUUGUGGCUUGUUAAAUGUACUGAGUUUGGACAUGCUGCUGCUUUUUUGCAUGCUAAUUGUUCUAAAUCUUAUUAUGAAAUACUUAACAUUCUCUAUGCAACAGAUUGGCAACUAGUAUGCCUAACAGAGUUGAGGGAGAGCAGGUGCUUAGAAGUUACAGACUUUUACUUCUGGAUAACCUAUUUGAUAGGGAACCUUAAUCUUACUGGACAUAAGUUCCCACAUCUGUAAAGAAAGGCUAAAACCAGCAUGUAAAUAUGUGCUCACUAAUAUAAGCAAACAAUACCUUUUUGAAUCUUACUUGAGACAAAGCCCCCCCUAGAAAAAUCACCACUGAUUUGGGAAGGUUAAAUUACAGUCCUCACCACAAGAAUCUAUUACUGAGCCAAUGAUUAUGCUAGCAGUAGUCAUAACCAUUAAGGUAUGAAGGCCUGUAGCCAAAAUGUUGAUGCUACACUUAUUGUUGCGUGACCUUUCCUAUGUUUCCAAGAAAGCUUUGCUGUGCUGAGAAGAAUCUCCUGACCUAAGCUUUUUAAAAGAUUGGCAGACUGUUCUGAGUGGGAGGCUGCAUGAGAGCAAAAGAUAAAUAUUUGCAAUACAAUGUAGAUAAAGAGGAGGCUGGAAAUGUUACUGCAGUAUCAAGGCUUUAUUUUACUUUUGCAUUUGGGUAAGUGCCAAAAGAACUAAAUCAGCACACUGGAAGAUGCAAGAAUGAACUUAAAAGAAAAAGAUAAGUUACUAAUACCAGGAGUACAAGUUUUAUUUUUAAUAUAAUUUUUUGUCUUCUGAACCUGAAGUAAUACUAACGGGAAAAAGUGCUGUGUUUUUAUUUCCAGCCCAUAUAUAUCUGCCUUUAUAAUUUACAUAAGUAUUGUAGUGGAAUAUUAACUUCCAUUAUUUAUGAAUCUAUUGAACUUUGCAAGGAUGUGCUGGCAGUUGAAGGAUUAUAAUUUUAAAGGUAGUUCAGUUCACAUCAUAAAUAUCCUUAAAGGUCACAUCCUACCUUACAGUAACAUCUGAAGGAGAAGCAGCUUAAAGUCAGGCUUGUUUCUGUCAAUUCAGAAAAAGUUUUACCAAAAUUAUGAUAGUAGAAAUCCAAAAGUACAUAUUUGUUACCCUAUGGGAGUAUUUUUGUACAUGUUUUUGUGAUGUUCUGUGCUCACAUGGGUAUUGUGUUACUAUGUAGAGUCCCUCCUCUUGGUUCUUUGAGGACGCCUUAACUCUGGGGAUACCAAAGACCAGAACUGAGACCACAGCAUUCCCAAUACCUUUAUAUAACAAGUACAUUGCAAUAUCAGUCCACUGGGUUCUUAACAUCAUUGUUCCUGUUGUCUACCUACCCUUGAAGUAUCAUAAAUAAAGAAAGGCACUCAGUGUUUCUGCCCGUUAGGUCAGCUUUACGUUGUGGAAGAAGAAUCCAAAGUAUGGAAGCAAUGAAACUUACUGUUCACCUGAAAACUUUAUGCUGUGUUAAUAAUGACAAGCCUGCAUAGUGGUUCAGUCUAAGUAGUUUAUAUGUGAGUGGUUUCCAUAGAAUAGAGAUCACCACACCAGUGAUCAUCACACCACUAUAUAAUUGAAAAAACUUUUAGUAGGUCAUGGAUAAAAUACUCACAGGUAAAACUGGAAAUAGUUUGUACAAGGGCACUGACUAGAGUAAGGAGUAUUCAUUUGUAGUAACUGUGUGCAUUUUUUUUUUUUUCCUGACAAUGUAAUGGUGAAUAGUCACUUAUUUUCAUUUACCUGUUUGCAACAGAGAGGGAAAAAUAAAGCACCUAUUAACUUGGUGUAUUAAAAUGGAUGAUACUGAAAAAAUCGGAAUAUUUCAUUGCAUUAUAAAGGGUGUCCGUAAAAUUUCUUGUAAUAUCGUUUUUACACGUUGUGUUAUCUUCCAUAAUAAAUACUACUAGCAUAGAUUUAUGAGAACUCUUUACUAUAAAGAUGCAAAGGAGACUGACAAAUAAAAACUGAUGCAUUUUGGCUGGAUUAUUAAAUUUUCUUGAGAUAGUUUAAAACAGCAUGCUACACAUUCGUUUGUGGUCAGCAACUAAGAAUAUGGCACAAUAUCUACACCAUACAUAUUUUUGUUUAUGACUGUUGGAAUGAAAGUCAGGAACAACCUAUUUUUUAUUUAAGCAGUUCCUAGAUCUGAGACUUUCACACUGUACCAGUAGUUUGUAUAGUUUAAAGGACUGAUCUGCUGCUACAGAACAAAGCAGUACUUCUCUCCUUAGCUGCUUGCAGUCUUCACGCUGCUGCGUAACAUAUGCCAGGCUUUGAACAAACUGGCCUUUUCAGAUAUGGAGAGCUGAAGUAUCCCUAUUCAUGAAAAAAGUUAGCAAAAUUAUUUUCUAAGGAGAGAAAUUCUUUUAUUGUUUUAGUAUUUUCAUUAUCAUGCUAAAGACAAAUUCUUUUUGCUUGUUAGGAGCAGUAAAUAUGCACAUCAGUUGCAAAUGUCAAGAUUUCUGGUUUGGGGUCAAUUAAAAUGCUAUAAACUUACCAGGGCGAAAAAAAAGAUCGUGAUUCUCUCUCUCUCUCUUUUUUUUUCCUUUCCACCCUUCCUUCUCAUAACUGAAAAUAAGCCCAAGUAAUCAGUGGGUUCUGAGAAGUGAUCAUAUAAACUACUUGGGCUAAGGGAACAGCAAAGAGAAAUACAGGGCUGUCCAAGUGAAACUCCAAAGGAAUUUAGGUAAAUAAGCUCAAGAAAUCAAGAUGAAACCAGAAUAUCAGAUUACUAUACUUAUACACUUUCUUUCCUUAGGAAACAGUGUGAUAUUAACUCACAGUCCUUACUGGAAAUGUGUGCUCAAUGACUUUUCUUAGGUAUUUCAGAACUGGGAUUCCACCCAGUAACUUCAAUGGGACUACCUGUUAGAUACAGGACGACAAAUCUAGUCCUAAAGUGGAAGACUCUCUUGAUAAAUGUGCAUCCUAAUUCUCAAUGACAUUAAAGUGAGUGAAACAUAUGUACAGAGAGAAUAAAAUGCCAAAACGUAUUGCUUUGCCAAGUUGCCACAGUUGGAAGCUUUCAGUAAAUUUCCAUGUGUUUGUUGAUAAAUCCUCCAUUUUGAAUAAAACAUUAUUUCAUUUUUAGAGCAGAUUUAGAGUGACAAGCCCUUAAGGCUAAGCAAUACCUCACUUUUUUUUGAAACACCUGUGAAAGAAAGUUGUUUCUUCACUUUUGUCUAGAUAUCUGCAAGAAAUCUGAGUUUUCUGGUAGCUAAUUCACCUGCUAUACGAAUUUGCAUUUUUAAAAGCUUGGAGGCAAAUAUCAGUUCAGAAGUCUUAAAUGUUUGUUGUUAGAAGCAGAAACAAGCUUGGUUAAUUGUUAAACAAUGGACAAUUUCCUGGAUGAUUCAAUAUAUCACAGGAGAUAGAUAACCUUGAUUAGGACCUCAGGAAUAAUUGAACAAGAUAAAUUACGAAACUAGCUUAGACUGCAAAGGAUAUAAGAAAGGAAUUCACUCUAACAUGAAGACUAUUAUCUUUAUAUAUAAUUAUAGGUUUUUGGUAUCAAAACACACCUACAGUGUGUUUCUAAGCUUGCUGCAGCUAUUGAAAAUGCAGAGAGAUGGCAACUAAUAUUUGGAUUUUGAAGAGUAUGAUUUAAUUAUUUGUCUUUACAAUAGUCAAUAAAGAGAUUCUAUGGACUCUCAUUAAAAUUUGAUACUGUGAAACAAUAACAGAUCAUUUUGAUUGGUAUUAGAUUGCUUGAUAAUAUGAGAUAAUGCAAUACCAGCUCCUUCUUGGCCUUGAGUGAUCCUGUGAUGCAGUUCACAUAGCACACAAGUCCCAAACUAACAAUGCUGUAGCUGUUUCAUCUGUCGGAAACCUCGUAUAAAUCAGAGGGCUUCGUAAUGGCUGUACAAAGAGUCACAAUAUUUUGAAAUCAACACUGUACUUUUCUCAGUUAAAAAAUCCAUUCCCCUAUGCAUCUAUUAACCUCUCAUCCUCUAAAGCUGCGUCCUCUAUCAGCUCAAACUACAAAAUCAAUCAGACAAGUACCUAGGACAGUAAGGAGAUCCACAACAGCUCUCAGCAAGGGGCUGUGCUCUCUGACCCCAGCUGCCAGCAGAUGCCCAGAGAAGGUGUAAAGACAUGGUAAAUAUACAGUUUAUACCUCCAGAAUAUUCUCAGUAUCCACCAAUGUGUGACUCAAGAGCUUCUUAUUUAUUAAAGUAAGCAGAAUCCAAGUUCAUGCCUGGAAGUUGGUAGAAUCAUAUUGCAGUUUUUGGAAGCAUUCUUGGUGUAUUGCCCCUUUCAAGUCAUGAGCACUGGACCUCCCAGUGCUCUGCGGCAAACCCCAUUGCCUCCACGAAUGGCCACCUUUCUGUCUGUCGUGAUGUUCUAAAGGUCACUCCUCUCUUUGCUGUUAUGGACCGGUAUGCAUUGCUUGUGGCUACUUGCUUCUAAAAACAGUUUCCUUCUCCUUUUCUCUAGCAAUAAUUCUAACAGCGGUUGUGGUAUUUUCCAUCCAGAAGGCACAUUUACAGGAUCCAGCUAAAUCAGUUUAGACAUUUUCUCUGCUACUUGAUGAAAAAUCUUGAAGUUGUAGGGAAAAUUACUGUAAAAAACUGGAAGGUUAGAACAGCUUGCUUACCAGUUGUUUUAUAAAGUUUGAAAAUCUGCAGCAUCUCAGACCAAGUGAAGGUUCAGUCUGACAGAAAGCUGAGUAUUUUUCUGCAGAAGCUUAUAGAAAUAAAUUGCCAGCAAUCUAGUUACAGAAAGAAAAUCAAAGUAAUCAAAGCCUUUGAAAUGCCACAGUGGCCAAGCAUUUUAUUUAUUUAUUUAUUUAUUUAUUUUCCUGUAGUAUGGCUACUGUAGGUGAUAUGCUAUACCCAGGUAGGUAGAGAUUACAGGUCUAUUUAUAUCUGUAUCUGUAUAUUCAUCCCUUUCUAAUCUCUAUCUGCAUGAUAUCAUAGAAAAUAUUAAGAAAGCAAGGAAGAUAUAUACAGUAUUUGUGCUGCUCCCGAUUAUUAUCUACCAAUGAGUAAUUAGAAAAUCUCAUUUGCUAAGAAAGGAAGAGGUGCCUGGUCCAAAAAUCAUGGAUUCUGUAGAGUUAUUAGUCUGAUGGAACAUAUGGUCCUCACCUCAUGCUAAAUCCUCUGUGUCUCAUCAGCAGCAAUUACCUGCCCAUCCUUCUGACUUACUGGAGCCAGCAACCUUCUCACCUGUUCCCUUGUAACAUUUCCUCUUGCUCCAUAUAUUCCAACCACCUUUUUCUCUCAAGUUAGACUCAAGUCCCAGCCUGACUAAUAGAGUCGUUUC